CCCGGAACCACCCUGCAUCAAGAUGUCAGCACGUUUAGCUCGGCGAGUGUAGCUGUACUUGGUGGAUGAAAAGCUCUGGAGUUGUCAGGUGUAUUCCAUCAGUGUUGGGACUAUUCUCAGGGGAAGAGAUGGUUAAAUCAUGAACCAUGACUCCUUGACAGCUAUCAAACUUCAGAUGGCACUGUGAACUGUUAACAAUCGUGAUACCCGUUACUGUGACAUUGGAACUGCCAUAAAAUCUCAGCGCCUGCAUCAGAGUGACAAAAGUGUCCUAGUUGGAAGCAGAGUAUUUUGAAAGCAGUGAUGGUGACCUGAGUAUCAUCUGUAACUCCAUCACCCUUGGCUCCAAAAUCCACCACGUUGUAGACUGUAUCCUGUGAUGGUGCUGCU